CAUUAUACCAAUAUCCAACAUAGGCUAAUGGAUGUGAGAAUAGUCGUGACGCGAUUUUUGUCCGGUAAACAUCAUACAUUUCCAAACACCUUUUCUCGCUCUCUCGGCAGAACUUCUCCUAAGGCAGCAUUAUAUAUAGUCAAUUUUUCUCACCUGGGGGCUCUACUAGAGAAGCAUCCCAAAAAGAGGAAUUGCUCAAGAUCCCAUCUCACGAAGAGAUAUGUAGCUUCCAAAUCUUGUUGUAAAAACGCGUGUGUAAAAAAGUUUAAAUUAUCUCACCACGAUCAAUCAUCGAUUCAUCCUGGGACUGGAGGUACAAGUGAAGCAAUUGUGUUUAGUGUUGGUCAAAGAAGAAUCAUUUUUUUCUUUUUCUUAUUACACUCAAUUCAUCUCGAGAAAAUUGUGUGAAAACAAUUGAGAUUGUGUCUAGUCUCUGAGGUGUAUUAACGAAGUUCCAGUGAAGAAGAUCAUCUCUGGUGAUCUCUAAAGACAAGAAGCUCAAAAGUUUCUUAGCUCUUCUUGUCCUCUGACCACCGUCACAUCUCUAAGUCUCGUCAGUUUUAAUUUUUUUUGGUGUAUUACCUGUCUAAAUAGUAAUUCUUUUCCCAUAACUUGGAUUAUUAUUCUCUCAAUGCGGAUUACGUCAUACAGCAGAGUGGCUCGCGGUAUCUCGAUACAAACACGGUAGAACGAUAUUGUGACCAAGAAUGGAGUCUUCCAGUGCCAAAGCAGCAGUUUUGGACGUGCAAAAAUAUGAGGGACUUCUUCUGGAGCCACCCACGAAAGAUGUGGUGGAACACGAUCCAGAGGGUGCAACACAUCAGGGAGUCGAGAAGAAUGAGGAAUGGAUCAAGAAGAAAAAGACGGAAUUGACGACAACGCGACAAAUUGAGACACGUGUAAAGCGCCAAGUGAUACUCGAAGAUGGCAAGGUCGUUGAUGAUUCCGGACCAAUUGUGUCCACAAAUACCACAGAAGAUACGGAAAAGCAGGAGAGUCAGACGACAGAGAGGAAAGAUUUGGGGGAGGAUGAGCCAUCGGGGGAAGUUGUGGGGGCCAUUGAUAUGGGCAGGAAGAGUAUCAGUCUCCUGGGGCAUCCAGCAUCGCCAGAUGGCGUUGUGCGUGAGGUGAAGGAGAAGAAAAUUGUGUCACGCGAAGAGAAGGAGGAACUCCUCGAGACGGAAGAUGUUAAGCACCUCGGUGACUUUUCCGAUGAGGUUUACGUUAAGGCGGCAAAUAGUGGUGUGGACAACAUUAAAGACGUACUCUAUUCACCUGAAUCGCGACAACAAUUGGUUCCCAUUGGCUCUCGUGUUGUCCAUCAAUCGUCCAAGAGUCACAAGGUUGUGGACACUGAGGAUACGGAUCUGCAGUGUCGUGCCCAGCCGGAUGGGACACUAGUCACGGAAAAGAAACGCACAACAGAACACGAGGAGCUCUUCGACGAAGACGUACCAGCUGAAGAAGACGAUCGAUUAUCGACAGGAAGUCACGAGAAAGUUACAACGAAAGAGUCCUCUCAACGUGUGUACAAGUCACGCGAUGAACAAGCCAUUGAGGACGUAGUAGAUGGGAAAGUGGUGGCCAGAGAGAUGAAGUACGUAGCAGAGAAUCAGGAUAUCGAAAGGGAUGGACCGGCUGAGAAUCCCUCAGACUGGGACAGUCUCUCAGAUCGCAUCCGGAAGGCCAGAAGACGCGGAAAGACGCUCCUGCAGCAGCAUCGAGAAGCCAUCCUCGAUGGAGAACGCAAGGAUGCCCUAACCAAGCGUCCCCUGGACUUUGAUCAGGAGGAAGAGACACGCAAACUAGAGACCAGCAAAUGGCUGGAGAGUCACUUUGGGAGUGACUCAUCCAGGGAUUCCCGGAAUGGGGACAUGGAUAUUGAGAAUGUCGAAGUGGAGCCAACGAAGAAGACUUUCUUCAAUGUCACCAUUAAAUCCACUCCCAAUUCAACUCCUCUGUCCCACAAUCCCCAAUCCCCCGUCCAGAACAGCUUCCACUCGCUUCAACAGGCGACACCAAGUCAGAGAAUUAAGUCCCCAAGUCCCCCGGAAAAUCGUAAAUACUUCCAGGGAAUUUCCAAUUGGGCUGAACGCAAGGACACCACGCCAACUCGAGUCUUCUCCGGGAAUGCUUUCCGGGAAGAGUUGAAGGGUACAGUGGAGCGAAAUCGAAAGCUCAGGCAACCGAUAAAUGGAUCAGUUGAGCGUUUAAAUGGCGACAACUCCCAUCACUACUCCAAGAAGAUCAACACCUAUCGCAGUGGCGAGCAGGAUGAAGAUAUUGUCUACGUGGUGUCUCCCAAGAAUACCUACCACUACCGCCGGCAGUCUCCGGAGAGGCCCGUUGAGUAUGUGUACAGGGAGAAUGGAGGGUAUCACCGGGAAAUCCGCCCAAUGCCCAAUGGAGUGGCAUUUUUGCGGGAGGAGGAAGAAGAACCUGUUGAGGUGCCAGAGGAGCCACAUCCGGUGGCUCCGCAGCGAAAGAGAGCCCUCGAGCGCAAAAUGAAGAUGAUGUACCAGGCCAAUGACUUGGAGGAGCAGAAGCAAAAGAACCGUUCGGUGUCGCCGGUGAACAGUGCAAUUAGAGGCCGCUAUGGGAAGCCCUCUCCGCCUCCGCGGGCGCCAUCGCCAGCGCACAAGAACAAGGUGAGCACAGCCAUUGGGAAUUCACUGAGGAAACUCGUGGGGAAGAUAGCUGAGAGGAAGGCGAAGCUGAAGACGAAGCGUUCCAUGUCGCCACCACAGGAGCCUCCACAGCAACGUGGCGGCCACACGAAUGGCGAGUAUCAGCAAUACGACGAGUACAUCGACAGUCACAUCGAGUCAGCACCUCAGCACAUUGUCCACAGGAGCACUGUGGGCGAAAUCAGACGCGAUCGAGUGCUCGAGCGACGCGGUUCAGGUGAUAUGGAUCAACAUCAGCCCACGGGCAUGGUGAGUCCCAAGCAGCGCUUCUACCUCGGCGAGGAUCCCUACGGCAGCAGCAUCUACGGCCGUGAGAACAAAUACGACGGCGUUCAGCGUCCUGUCCAGAGAAGAUCCAGCUACAAAGUCCAUCCAGACGAUGACAUCUAUCACAAUGGCAGGAUUUACUCGCCAUAUCAGACUCAUGCUUCAACUCUGGGCAGAUUCAGUGCCUCUACAAAUCAACUUCGCUCCCCCACUUACACCACAUCCUCCCAGACUCUGCCCCGGAAGCUUGAGCACCGUCCAGCCCACUCCUCAACCAUCAACGUCUCCAUUGUCAACACAGUUGCUCCUCCAACGCAGAACACCGGUCCGGCAAAGCCCGCUCGAUCCUACAAAGCUCUCAAUCGCAGCAAGAGCUUGAAUGUCCAUGGGAUCAGCGAAACCAAUGGCACGGCCUUCAAAUCCAAUCCUCAGUUGAAUCUGAAGAGUCCGUCCAUUGUCAGCAUGAUCAGUCGCAGUCAGAGGGAUUUGCGUCCCGUAGGAGCUACGCCGGUGCGUGAAGUGGACACGCAGAAGUCACUGUUCCUGCGGGGACUUCAGGAGCAGGCACCAGAGCUCUACAGGACACUCCAUGGGGAGGAUGAACUCUCCCCGAUGCGCACGAAUUAUUCGCGAUUUUCAGUGGAAAGAGCUCCGAGGAAUGGGGAUUUGAGAACGAGAUCUCCAGUGACUAUCAACAAGGAUACAGCCAGUAUCAUCAGACGAGGAAGUUCCAGCACAGAUGACUACUCAGAGACUUACAACUACACCACACGCAACGACGAUCCGAGACGACCAAGUAUCACAAAUACCACGCAGAACUUCAGCAAAAAGACAAUUCCGGGCAAGGGAGUCGUGGAGUCUAGCAAGACAAAGUCCGUGACUACGAGUCGCUAUGUGCCAGAUCUGCACAACAGCCACCUCCUCAAUCGCCACGUGAUCGAAGUCAGGGGGAAUUCUCCCAGGCAUUGACUUUCUUUAACUUGAUCAGGGAAGGGUCUUUUUUCCUUGCAGGUCCGUGGACAAAAGUUGGGCACAGUUUCUAAUUGUUUAAAAGGUUUUAUCAGUGAUAACAAAGUAUCAGGUUCUCAGAUAUUGUGGGUAGCAUUUGUAUGCAAAUGAUCUUCAGAUUUAUUGCUCCGCAGAUCCGUUAACUCUUUCGUCUCCGACGAGAGUUCCCGUUAACUCUUUCAACGAGAGUUCCCAUGAGUUUUCCAAUUUCCCAGAGGCGGAGAAAAUUCUUUCUCAACGAAAGUAUCAUAUUUGACCACUAAGACUUACAAUAAAGUGAGUUUUACUGAAAUUCGUUCUCUGGAUACGUUGUGGUCCGGAAAGAGUUAAAUUCAUCUCACGCGUUUGAUGAUGUGAAUGAUGAUUUGGAGAGGAUCUCACACUGGGCCGACUACAAUAAUGGUCUGGUACUGAAUGCCAGUUAUUAUGUAUUUCACCUGUUCAAUAUAUUAAAUAUUAAUUCAAUUCUUGGCGCCGAUAAAACAAGAUCUUUGGAGUGAAUUCUUAGCGUCGUUAUUUUUCUCUAAGCUUUCAAGGUUUAAAUGUAACAGCCAGAAAGUCGCAGGCACUACUGGCGCUCUCGAGAGGAAGAAACCCAAUCUCCUUUCCGCUUUCCCUUUCAGAUGAAGAAAUUCCACUCUCCUCUAAGGUAAAAAAUCUAGGUGUCAUCUUUAAUGAUACACUUACUUUACGACGCGAACUUUACGAGGAUACCAAACUUACGCCCCUUUGAUUAGAGCACUUAUUGUGGCACUUUUCACCUACGGGUGUGAGUUGUUCUGCAGAACACAUGCUGAGGUGCAUAGUCGUCCGAGACUUGCAUUUAAUUCAUGUUUGCACUAUGUCUUCGGACUUCGUAAAUAUAAUCACGUGUCCGUUUAUGUUGAUUCCAUACUCGAUCUUCUACUGUCCGGUUAUUUCGAUAACCGUGUAGUGGAUUUCAUUUCCAGGAUUCUUUCGACUGGUAGGCCGCAGUACCUCGCAUACUUUUUGGUUGCUGGAUCAUCUUCCAAGGGGGGGAAUUCUGUAACUCUGUGAAGUGAUCACUUGUCAAAAUUGGUGAACGCUUCACUGAAGUGCAAUAGCAAAAGAGAUUCUCUGUAACUAGCGAUAGCUUCACGUGAAAAGAUCACUUUGAGGUAGAGAUGGUAAAAUUUCAGAAAAGUUAUGUGGUUUCACUUGCCAAUUUUUCGGUGAAGAUGAUGUUAUCACUCGGUGAAGCCCGUGAAGCCACUGAAAAAUUUUUCGAUAUUCAACUUAAAAACCAACACGACGUCUUUUGUAACACUGAAUUCUAGUGUUUUCUAUAGUUACUUAGUUGAAAUAUUGAUGAAAAUCUUAAAUUUAAGGAAAAUUGCAACACAUUUUCCCUCUUGCUUCACGCAAAGUUACAGAAUAACUUUUCUAGUAGUCGUGAAGGGAAACUCGUGAACCUUUCACUAGUGAAGCGUUCACAGAGUUACAGAAUUCCUACCCAGAUCUUCUUGCUUCAGUGUGCCUGGUUCAGAAAGGGUUGUCAUUCUCUGGAAUGCUUUGCCAAGAGAGCGAAAGAGAGGGCUUAUCUUGAGUAAUAAAAUUGCUCGUUAAUCAGGAUUUUGCGACCUUUGAGAACUGGGCUAAACUUCUAGUCUGAAGACCGCCUUAUGAUAGAAGCGCUUCAGACACUUCAGGCAGAGAAAUAAAUCAUAAUGAGAAUUAGUCAGAAAAAUUCUUAGAAGAAUAAACCAAUUUCAGUAAAAUGUGAAAAGAAAUAUCUCUGAAAUGCACGUUUUCUCUGUCAAUCAAUCCCAAACAAACUUACGCAAUCCCUGUUGCGCAAUCCUCAGAAAUCUAAACCAAAAUACCCAAAAAGCAAAGACAAAACCUCAUGGGAAAAUUAAGUGAAUGAUAUCCAUUUAUUUGAGAUAAAUAGCAAACAAAUAUAUUUUAUUUUGUUUAAAUCUACAACCUGCAAAAAAGAAUCAUAAAUUUUCUUUUAACCUGAAAGAAAAGAAACCAAAGAAACUGUGCGCAACUGGACAUGGAACUACGAGGAAAAAAAGCUGAAGGAUGGUGGAAAAAAUCUUGGUGAAAGAAUUAAAAAAAACUACUAACUGAAGAGACAUUAAAGAGAAUUAAAAAAAAAAA